rnacentral:rRNA from 1 species
AUGCACGCUGGCGGCGUGCCUAAUACCUGCAAGUCGAGCGAACAGAUGAGGAGCUUGCUCCUCUGACGUUAGCGGCGGACGGGUGAGUAACACGUGGAUAACCUACCUAUAAGACUGGGAUAACUUUGGGAAACCGGAGCUAAUACCGGAUAAUAUAUUGAACCGCAUGGUUCAAUAGUGAAAGACGGUUUUGCUGUCACUUAUAGAUGGAUCCGCGCCGCAUUAGCUAGUUGGUAAGGUAACGGCUUACCAAGGCAACGAUGCGUAGCCGACCUGAGAGGGUGAUCGGCCACACUGGAACUGAGACACGGUCCAGACUCCUACGGGAGGCAGCAGUAGGGAAUCUUCCGCAAUGGGCGAAAGCCUGACGGAGCAACGCCGCGUGAGUGAUGAAGGUCUUCGGAUCGUAAAACUCUGUUAUUAGGGAAGAACAAAUGUGUAAGUAACUAUGCACGUCUUGACGGUACCUAAUCAGAAAGCCACGGCUAACUACGUG